GCAGCUCUUCUGGCCUGGAAAUACAUUUUACUUCUGAAGCAUCAUUGAUGAAACAGACUUCUAUCCUUCUCAACUGCAGCAUGAAUGGAGGUCUCAUAUCCCAGGAGACACAGCCACAGCUGGCAGGGCAUCCUCAGUGCUGUGUGGCUAUGAAGCACAGUGUCCUGCUAGCUUGCCAUGGCAUGCAGCAGGACUGAGAAGCAGGGUGCUGUGGGGUACCGCUGAGAUUGGGGCUGCUUGCCACAGGAGUGAAACCUCGUUUACGCUGGCUGACUGAGGCAUGGAGAUGCAUAUUGGCUGUUGUGCAAUGGGCUUGAAAGACUUCGACCUUACAUGGAGAUGCUUUUAUGCUGCAACUGGAGUAGCUCUAAAAUGCCUUGAGAAACUAACAUCAGUUUCAAGCAGCAAAUUGUUAAAAUUGGGAAAGAGGGCUACAAACAAAGGAGCAAAGAAGAAAUGGGGUGGAGGUGGGGCAGGGAACGCUCUGAGGGACAUGCUGUUCAAAUAAAUGUCUUCUAAUAACUUCAUAGG
rnacentral:lncRNA from 1 species